rfam:TPA: Bos taurus chromosome 14, whole genome shotgun sequence.
UCCCCAGUGGCUCAGAUGGUAAAGAAUCUGCCUACAAUGCAGGAAACCUGGGUUUGAUCCCUAGGUAGGGAA